rnacentral:lncRNA from 1 species
AUGGCAGGCAUGGAGGAGGCAGCGACCUUUGGGAGCUACAUGAAUGGCAACCUGGAUCCAGAUGAAAGGGAGGAGGAAGCUGCCUCUACAACUGAGGAAGAAGCCAAGAAAAACAGAUGGAGGAAAAAGAAGAGUAAAGGGGCUGCAGCAGGGCAGCAGGAAACUGAUAAAGGAUUAAGAGCCUCAGUGGAUGAAGGAGCAAGACAACUGGAAAGACAAGCAUUGGAAAAGAAAGAAAGAGAUGAUGAUGAUGAGACGGAGAUGGUGAUGGAGAUGGAGCAACUAGAAAGAAGAAGGAAAAGAGGAAAAAGAAGAAGGAAAAGAGGAGGAGGAGGAAGAAGAAGAAGAAAAGGAAGAAGAAGAAGAGGAGGAGGAGGAAGAAGAGGAAGAAGAGGAAGAAGAACAAGGAGGAGGAGGAAGAGGAAGAGGAAGAAGAAGAAGAAGAGGAGGAAGAAGAAACAACCAAAAUUCCAACAGACCCUCCCUCCCUCAGUUCCAAUAUGUGGCUGUAUCCUAGUCGUGUAUUUCCCAAAGGACAAGAAAGUGAAUACCCACACACACAAGAUGGAUGGAGAAUUAUGAGUGAAGAAAAGAAAGUGUUAGAUCAGGCUAGGGAAGAGAUUUGGAAUGAUUUUUGAGAAGCUGCAGAAGCACAUUGACAAGUGAGAAUAUAUGUAAUGAGCUGGAUCAAGCCUGGGAUGAUAGAAAUCUGUGAAAAGUUGGAAAACUGUUCACACAAUCUAAUAAAUGAAAAUGGAUUAAAUGCAUGCCUGGCAUUUCCUGCUGGAAGUUCUCACAAUAAUUGUGCUGCCCAUUAUACUCCCAUUGCUGGUGACACAACAGUAUUACAGUAAGAUAACAUCUGUAAAAUAGAUUUUGGAAUCGGUAUAAGUGGUAGGAAUAUUGACUACUGACUGUGGUCUUACUGUCACUUUUAAUCCCAAUUAUGAUACAUGAUUAAAAGCUGUAAAAGAUGCUGCUACUACUGGAAUGAAGUGUGCUGGAAUUGAUGUUCAUCUGUGUGAUGUUGGUGAGUCCAUCCAAAAAUUUAUGGAGUCCUAUGAAGUUGAAAUAGAUGGGAAGACACAACAGGUGAAACCAAUCCAUAACCUAAAUGGACAUUCAAUCGGGAAAUAUAGAAUACAUGCUGGAAAAACAGUGUCCAUUCCGAAAGGAGGAGAAGCAACAAGAAUGGAGGAAAGGAAGUGUAUGCAAUUGAAACCAUUGAUAGUACAGGAAAAGAUAUGAUGAUAUGGGAUGUUCAUAUUACAUGAAAAAUUUUGAUGUUGGACAUGUACCAGUAAGGUUUCUAAACAAAAUAAUUGUUAAAUGUCAUCAGUGAAAAUUUUGGCACCCUCACCUUCUGCCACAGAUGGCUGGAUUGCUUGGGAGAAAGGAAAUUCUUGAUGGCUCUGAAGAAUCUGUGACUUGGAAAUUGUAUCCACCAUUGUGUGACAGUAAAGGAUCAUACACAGUGCAGUUUGAACAUACCAUAGUGUUGCAUCCAACAUGUAAAGAAGUUGUCAGCAGAGGAGAUGACUAUUAA